AUUGAACGCUGGCGGAAUGCUUUACACAUGCAAGUCGAACGGCAGCACGGACUUCGGUCUGGUGGCGAGUGGCGAACGGGUGAGUAAUAUAUCGGAACGUGCCCAGUCGUGGGGGAUAACGUAGCGAAAGCUACGCUAAUACCGCAUACGAUCUACGGAUGAAAGCGGGGGAUCGCAAGACCUCGCGCGAUUGGAGCGGCCGAUAGCAGAUUAGGUAGUUGGUGAGGUAAAGGCUCACCAAGCCGACGAUCUGUAGCUGGUCUGAGAGGACGACCGGCCAGACUGGGACUGAGAAGCGGCCCGUACUCCUACGGGAGGCAGCAGUGGGGAAUUUUGGACAAUGGACGCAAGUCUGAUGCAGCCAUUCCGCGUGCAGGACGAAGGCCUUCGGGUUGUAAACUGCUUUUGUACAGAACGAAAAGGUCUCUAUUAAUACUAGGGGCUCAUGACGGUACUGUAAGAAUAAGCACCGGCUAACUACGUGCCAGCAGCCGCCGCAG
rnacentral:rRNA from 1 species